UACGUAGGGUGCGAGCGUUAAUCGGAAUUACUGGGCGUAAAGCGUGCGCAGGCGGCGCGUUAAGACAGGUGUGAAAGCCCCGAGCUUAACUUGGGAAUUGCGCUUGUGACUGGCGUGCUGGAGUGUGGCAGAGGGAGGUGGAAUUCCACGUGUAGCAGUGAAAUGCGUAGAGAUGUGGAGGAACACCGAUGGCGGAAGGGCAGCCCUCCUGGGCCAGCACUGACGCUCAGUGCACGAAAGCGUGG
rnacentral:rRNA from 1 species